GUCCAGACAGAUGCGCCACCACUCCACGGCCACCAGAGGACUGGGGACGGCCAUGUAGCGCUUCUGGUUGCGGAAGCGGCGUCCGUCCUUGCUGUUACUGUGGGGAAUGUCGACGUAGUUGAGCUCAGAACGCAGCACGUCUUCUUUCCCAGUUUGAAUGAGCCAGCCAAGCCGCGACCUUUGACCCGGAUGACCAGGCCUUCAUCGAUCAGCUUCACCAGCGUCUUCUUGAUGUGGUUGCGGUUUUUUAGCAGGUCGUAACCCAUCCAGUUGACGGCCUGGCUCUGAUACAGUCUGAGAACAGGAAUCAGAGCUUUAUGCUGGACGUCGUAAGUCGUCUCCCGGCUCUCUCUUUGGUGCACAUGCCUGACGUAGUCAUAGAGCUCCUCCACGUUUUGCCUCUCCAAGUCGGUGUCACAUUCCUCCUCCUCCUCAUUCUCUACAACUUCUACAUGAAAAAACAGCAGUGAAAUCAAGUUAUAACUGAGAACUUUGACGACAGGAUGCAUUAGACAUUAGGACAUAAGCAUUACCGGGGAUGAUGAAAUCGUAGAAAUAUUCCAUUAGCUUCUGCAUUAAUUGAUUUGCUUUCCUCAUCCGAGCGUUUCCCUCACUGAGGAACUCCGGCUUCCCGAGCCCAGUUUCCAGCAGGUAAAUCCCCACCUGAAGGAAGAAAUGUCAUGUUUUAAUACUGUGAACCACAACAUUAGAUGUGGCUCUUAUUAACAUGUCAAUCUCCAUUUCUCUCCAUCCUCAUUUCCAGUGA